rnacentral:rRNA from 1 species
AGUGAACGCUGGCGGUAUGCCUAAUACAUGCAAGUCGAGCGACCACACGGUAAGCUUUCUCCCUUGCCGUUAGCGGCGGACGGAUGGGUGACACGUAGAUCACCUUCCUAUUAGACUUGGAUAACUUCGGGGGACCACAGCUAAUAACAGCUCAUAUGUUGAACCGCAUAGAUCAGUAGUUCUAGACGCCUUUGCUGUCACUUAUAGCUGGAGCCGCGCCGCAUUAGCUAGUUGGUAAGGUAACGGCUUACCAAGGCAACGAUGCGUAGCCGACCUGAGAGGAUGAUCAGCCACACUGGAACUGAGACACGGUCCAGACUCCUACGGGAGGCAGCAGUAGGGAAUCUUGCGCAAUGGGCGAAAGCCUGACGGAGCAAUGCCGCGUGAGUGAAGAAGGUCUUCGGAUCGUAAAACUCUGUUAUUAGGGAAGAACAAAAGUGUAAGAAAAUACGCACGUCUUGACGGUACCUAAUCAGAAAGCCACGGCUAACUUCGUG